CUGCACUGAACAAAAGUCUAGGAACCACUGAACAGCCCUGUGACUGCACUGAGGAAACCGUCUAGGAACCACUGAACAGCCCUGUGACUGCACUGAUAAAAAGGUCUAGGAACCACUGAACAGCCCUGUGACUGCACUGA